CGUUGUCGUCAGCUCGUGUCGUGAGAUGUUGGGUUAAGUCCCGCAACGAGCGCAACCCUUGUCAUUAGUUGCUACAUUCAGUUGGGCACUCUAAUGAGACUGCCGUGACAAACCGGAGGAAGUGGGGAUGACGUCAAGUCCUCACGGCCCUUAUAGGUGGGGCUACACACGUCAUACAAUGGAUGGUACAAAGGGUCGCCAACCCGCAGGGGGAGCCAAUCCCAUAAAGCCAUUCGUAGUCCGGAUCGCAGUCUGCAACUCGACUGCGUGAAGUCGGAAUCGCUAGUAAUCGUGGAUCAGAAUGUCACGGUGAAUACGUUCCCGGGUCUU
rnacentral:rRNA from 1 species